GUAGUGGGGACUGACAAGUAAGGUGGGAGGGGAUGAAGCGCCUGGCUGAAGCGGAUCCGGGCCGCGAGGAGACCAGCACCGGACUCCUGGUUUCGGCCCUCGUUUACCUGUGUUGGCUCGCUCGCACCGUCAGACCAGUUCAAAGGCUGCCCCAAAUUGCCCGCCUCCAAGGUCCGGGCGGUGGCCUCUCAGGCUCAGCGCAGCUGCACAAGUCACUGUCCCCAGACACCGGAGGGUCCCUGGAGGGGAAACGAUUGACACAGCUGCCUGCACUGUGCCGCGAGCCUUCCAGCGCCGCACCUGCGUCUCGUCGCGUGGCCAGGAACUGGAACUGGUUCCCGAGUUGGUGAAGUGUCCAUCAGGCCCGCAGCCAGAACCCAUACAGUUCGCCAGCUCCGGAACCGGGCUUUAGACACCAAGACCUUGCGGAAGAGAACUACAACUCCCGUCGGGCCUCGCGCUCCAGCCAAUCGUGGCAGCCGGCGCGUGCGGGGCGCGGCGCCUGCGCGGCGGUUUGAGUAAGCGGCCGUACGAUUGGCUGCGGGGUCGGGCGGCCGC
rnacentral:lncRNA from 1 species